ACGGCGACAUCCUUAGGAGAAA
rnacentral:miRNA from 1 species